rnacentral:rRNA from 1 species
GGGUCAGUAGGUUGGUCGUGCCACAGGUACGUACUGGUCUCACUGAUUCCUCCUUCCUGAAGAACCGUAAUGCCAUUAAUUUGGUGUUGCGGGGAAACAGGACUGUUACUUUGAAAAAAUUAGAGUGUUUAAAGCAAGCUAACGCUUGAAUACAUUAGCAUGGAAUAAUGAAACAGGACGAUCGAUCCUAUUUUGUUGGUUUCUAGGAUUGACGUA